UCUCACAGUGUUUCCUAAGAGAGUGCUGUGUUUGCUUCUCACGUCAGUACCCAGAAAGCUGGUGGGUGGGGCAGGACUGGUCGUCAAGGGCCUGGGUAGGGAGCUUACUUACCCUGGGACUGUCUGUCAUACAGGGCCACAAAGUGGCAGAGGUGGAGCCCCCUAGAAUCUCCUGACUUCUCCUGCUACACUCCUCCCUCAGUGCCUCGGACCCACUAGGUAAUCUGAGUUCUGAGGGACUGGGAUCUCAAGGCCAGACCAGCUCACCCCCUACCACAUCCAACCCCUGAACCAUUGCUGGGGAAGAGCAGCCCUGUGGGCCUCAAAGCACAGCUCCACCGUCCACAUUCAGGCAGAAGGAAAAGAAACGCUGCAUUCCAAGCCUCCCUCGGGACCAAGCACGCCUUUGUUCACUCUCUCCCCAGCCACACGCAUAAGCCUUAUGGGUAGGAGACAGUCUCAGCCCUCCCUUGGGAGCAGAGCAGUCACUCAAAGGCAUGCAAAAGGCAAAUUCACUGUACAGAGUGUAUACAGGGAAAUAAAAAGCUGCACGGGCUCUGAGUGCUUGAGCAAGGAAGUAUAGCAAAGCAGGAAAGUCCAGACACAAAACCAAACAAAACACCAGGCAUAAAAUAAUCCACUCUCAGGGAGGCAGUUUCCACCUCCUGGGAGGAACACCCAGCGUGCAGUCAGGCAGAGUGGGCAGGCACAUGGGAAACAAUAGGCCUUUCUUUCUCCAGCAGCUGAGCACACACCCAGGAGAAAGGAGCCCUCUCAGGAAGGCGAAGUCCGAGCCCGGCCCAGAGAGUAUGUGAGGCCAGUUGACAACACAGUACUUGCAUUCAAAUUCCUUCUGAAAAGGUAAAGGGGCUGCGUACACUCAUGUAAAAGAUAAGAAUUUCCUUCUGAACAAGAAAUAAAAGAUUGUACAUUUUUCCAGGGACUCUGAAAUGGAUGUUGCAAGAGGCAACCUGGGGUGGUUUGUCAGAAGGAGCCCAAAAAAGUUCCAGGAAUAAGCAGUCCUUGGCCCAGUGGACCAGGCCCGAGACAGGGGAGGUGCCUCACCCAGAGGCCUGGGUGAUUACAAUGGGUUGGUGGGGGCCCUGGGUGUUCCUGACCCUGCUCCAGGGGGGCAGAGGUGACAUCCACCCCCUGGCAGUUUUGUCCUCAGAACUGAGUAGGCAGGAAUCCUUCCCAUGCACACAGCGUGACCCAGUGCUGGUCUCCGCUAGGCAGGCCCAGACGGGGAGGAAUGACAGACCUGUCAUGUGGUUUUGGAGCAGGAGGCAUAGUUCAGUUUCUGGUUGCCACAGUCCCACCCCUGACCUCCACAGGAUUGGACAGGGAGGAAAGGAGCCCCUGGCAGAUUGCCUGACAUUCCUGAGGCUGUGGAUUCAGCACCUUCCUAAGAGGGCAGCCAUGGGCCUGUCUGCCACCCCACCUUCCUUGAUGCUAGCUGAUUAUGGACUGAAACCUCUACAGACUGUGAGCUAAAUAAACCUUUUCUCCUUUAACUUUGGGUGUUGGGUAUUUUGUCUCAGCAAUGAGAAAAGUAACUAAGAUAGCAGAAUUCUGGGAUUUGGCCCUAGCCACUGCACACCUCUGAAAAUCAGGCCCUUGACUGUCCCUCCAACCCACAUCAUCCUGGAAUAUAGAACAUGGAGCUCACCACCUGCAAUCUCCAGGUAGUACUUGAAUUGCUGAGCAAACACUUGCUAUUGGCAAAAGUACAAAGCUCUGCAAAAGGUCCAACAGGAAAAACUAAACACAGAAGAACAGCAUCAGCUGGGUGGGGUGGGGGCACAGGAACUUUGAGGAGACCCUUGUGGCAGUGGCUGAGGUCGAGCUAGGGUGGGUCCUGGUCACAAGGGAUGGAGAGGCGGGGACCGAGGACGGUACACCUCUCAUCCCAUGCCUUGCUAGUGCUGUGCCUCUGGAAGGACUCGGUGCGCAAGCUAACCAUGGAUGUCUCCCUGACAGCCCGCCUUGCAUCCUGUGGCCAGUUGCUGCCACAUUCCCGAGCGAUUCCCCAUGAGACUCCUGGACACCACCUUGUCUGUGCCUGGCUGACGUCUGAACGCACCCGUGGGCACUGAGCACAAAGCUGUCACCAUUUACCUGAUGUAGAGGGAAUAGAUGUAACUUCCAAACCUGCUAGGUCAAAAGGACAAAAAGAAGUGGACAAAAAGAAGAGCUCUGAAUUCCAACUGUCCUUCAAUGGAAAAAUGCUUCACCACCAGGAAAUCCCAGUCAUCGAUCAAGCUCUUCCAGAACUAACUCUCCAUACUCCUCGUUAGUAAUAUCAGGGGUUCUGGUCCAAAUGGGCUUAGUUUUGUUCAGUUCUUCUUGAUCAAUAUACUUUUCCUUAAUCUUCUUCUUUCCUUGUCACCAUCCUUCUUUUCUUCAUUAGAACCAACAUCUUCUAUUUCAAGUUUGUCAUCAGCCUCCUUUUCUUCUUUGUCUUUGUCUUCCUUUUUAUUUUCCAUUUCUUUUUUUUUGUACUAGGGAUCGAAAUCAGGUCCUUGUGCUUUCACAGCAGGCGGCUAAACCACUGAGCUAAAUCCCUGGCCCUUUAUCUUUCAUUUCUUCAGUCUCAUCAUCACCCACUUCUUUAUCUCAUUCCUUCUCCACAAAGGGAGUAAUGGGACAGCCAACAAACUGAGAAUAUUUCUUCAAAUCUCUUUUAUUUUUCUUUCUUCCACGUACUUAGUUUGGUCUGCUUUCAGAUGCAGGAUAACCUUUGCUCCUCUGCCACGGAGUUCACCUUGUCAGUCCUCAUUGAAGGACCUGCCUGCUGAAGGUUCCAGGCAUACUGCUCAUCAUCGCUUUGCUUGGUGGUCACAGUCACUCUCUCAGCAACCAAGUGGAAACCCACACCUGACCGGCCAGUCAUGGAGUUGUCAGUGCCAACCUGCAAAGCCUCCAUGAAGGCCUUGGUCUCCAACUUGGUGAUGGUGCUGAAGUCAUCCAUCAAGUUAACCCUGGUCAUUCCGAUCCCAGUAUCCACGAUGGUGAGGGUUCGAUCUUGCUUGUUUGGAAUAAGAUAAAUGUGCAGCUCCUUGCUGGAAUCUAAUUUACUGGGAUCUGUCAGGCUUUCAUACCUAAUUUUGUCCAGAGCAUCUGACGAAUUUGGAAUCAAUCCCUCAGGAAGAUCUCUUUGAGUAGAAAGUGUUGUUGAUCAGUGACAUCAACUGGGCAAUUUCUGCCUGGAAGGUGAAUGUCUCUACCUCCUCCUCCUCCUCCUCCUCCAUGAGCUGGUCCUGGGUGAGUCUCCCCAGCAUCUUGGCUAAGCAACCCAUGGGAUCUGCAACAUAGCAGCUCUGAGAUGCUGAAGCAACUGGCCCAUCCCCUUUAUUUAUUUAUUUAUUUAUUUAUUUAUUUAUUUUUGGUACCGGAGAUCGAACUCAGGUCCUUGCAGUUGCAAGGCAGGCAGCAGAAACACUGAGCUAAAUCCCGGCCCAGCCCCUUUAUUUUUAAAAUUUAUUUUCAGACAGGGACUUGCUAAGUUGCCCAGGCUGGCCUUGAACUUGUAGCCCUCCCGCCUUAGCCUCCUGAGUAGCUGGGAUUACAGGCAUGAGCCUCCAUGUCCAGCCAAUGUACUCUUUUGAAUAUAGCUGUGGAAAAGUGAAUAAUGACAGAGGGAGAAAAGCAGAGGCUGUAUGCAGAGAGCCGGGUUGUAUGUUUUGGGUAGAGGGAGUUAUGGAAUGUGGAUUGGGUUAAUACGAGUGCUCAGCUGGAGAGGGUGCAGCGUUCAGCUUUUUUUGGCCAUCAAUAAGAAAUUUACUUCCUUUUAAAAAUCCAGGGCCAGGAAUUUAGCUCAGUGGAGCCACUGCCUGCCUCACAAGCGCAAGGUCCUGAGUUUGAUCCCCGGUAAGCCAAAAAUAAAAUAAAAUGAAAUGAAAUAAAAUAAAAAUCCAAAUGCUGGCCUUGUCUGGAAAAAUUUAACAGGUUUAUUUAUUUAUUUAUUUUUUUGGUACCGGGGAUCGAACUCGGGUCCUUGCACUUGCACACAAGGCAGCAAAACCACUGAGCUAAAUCCCCGGCACAAACAGGUUUAUUUAUAAUGUUGUAAGGUUGAACUGCUGAAACUUGUUCAUCAAAAAAUUUUCACUUGCAUUAAUGCUUCACAUCCCCACGUUUUAUUAAAAUUUCACACAUGGAUGAAAAUGGAAAAACUGCCAAUACUUGAUUUCUGUCCCCUAUUUUUCUGCUUGACAGUCAUAUACUUGGGUAAAUUUUGACUCCAUGGAGAGAAAAUUUUUACAUUCAGAACUGCCAAAUACCAG
rnacentral:lncRNA from 1 species